CUUGCUUCAGAUUUGGCAAACUUACAUGUUCCCAGGCUUAUGAAAUAUAAUUUACAUUUACAAAAGGGAGAGGCUUCAUUACACUGGAAAUUUGUUUUAAAUAAUGCCGAAGUGAACCACUGAUGGAACAGCCAGCAUCAAAAUCCAUGGUGGCUCCCACGGAUCCGCAGGAUCUACCAGGCGGCACAGAUAAGCAGGAAUUUAGGUUUUGUUGAAAGAACCCAACAAAGAGAGAAGGCCUCUAAGUAAAUUAUGAAGCCUUUCUAUUAAUAUCACCAUGUUGAACUAUCUCAGAGACACCACUGGGAAAACUUCCUGCCCUCCUUCCUGAGAUCAGAGAGACGAGUUUUCAGGAAUCCCUCCCCAGGGUUUGCCUGUGUACUCUGUGCAUGGUGGAAGUGGAGAAGAGUGAUCCAGCUUCCUUCAGUGGGACCCUCCUCACCCAUCCUGAUGGGUAGAUACAAGAUGCCGCCAUAGGGGCUGCCCUCGGACAGAGCCAAGGAGAACAUUGACUCAUUCGUCGUGUGCAGACCUUUGCGGAAGAUGCCGAUGUGCUCAAGGCAUGCUCCCUCAUGUGAGGGGUGACAUCACUGCCUAAUUUACACUCAUGCCAGGCCUAAAUGACCUCAUCACAGAAAGGCGAUUGUCUUGGCUCCUACUACAUGGCACAAUUCUUUUCCUGAACAUUCCUGAUCAUACUCUGUGCACUCCCUCAUCCCUGCCUUUGUUAUUUCCCCCUACCCCUGGAACACAGUUUGACAAACAUCAAUUCCAUUUUCUUGUGAAGGCAAGUUAAUUUUCAGACUCUCAGUGUCUUCAUCUCUAAAACGAAGGGUUAUCUGUGCUACUGCUGCUGCUGCUGCUGCUGCUGCUGCUGCUGCUGCUGCUGCUGCUGCUGUUUUCCUCAUGGGUGUCUGGAGGGGAGCUGAAAUGAAAGGGUGGAGGUAUCUGGAUCCCAGGGCUGCUUCCUUUUAUCUGCCCUACAUAUUGCUAAAAUCGCUUUUGAAAAAUAGGCCCCACUGCUUUUAAAUUACUGAACUAGAUAGUAUCGCAGGCUUCUUUGGCUAUAAAAUUCUGUGAUUCUAGCAUUCCCGGGAGUGAGGAUUCAAACUGACCUGCAAGGAUAAUCCUAAGGCAUUCAGCCUUCAAAGCCCUCAGCGCUGCCUCCCUAACCCUUAUGGGAACUUCCAUGGGACAUCCAGGGUCAUCUGACAUCUGAUUUCAUUCUAGCUUGCAGCCUUAUCUUUUCAAAUGGCUUGACAAUGUAGUCAAACUAGACCCUCUCUAAAUUUCAAACCAACUGAUACUUUCUGCUCUAGGUCUUUGUUGAUACUAUACUCUGCUCAAAAUCAUAUGCAUCCUACAAGAUUCAUCUCAAAAACUAAAUAUUAUAUCUACCACACUUACCGUAUUUUGCUAUGUGGUAUUCUUGUUUGUUUGUUUUCUGAGUGAACAAUUCAGGAGCUGUGAGUACAUUCACAGCCUUAUGCAACCAUCACCACUACCUAAUUCCGGAACAUUUUCAUCACCCCACAAAGAAAUCCUGGGCCCAUUAGUAAUCACUUCCCAUUCUCCCCUGUACCCCGCCUCUGGCCACCACUAAUCUACUUUCUGUCUCUGUGAAUUUGUCUAUUUUGGACAUUUCAUAUAAAUGGAAUUAUACAAUGUGUGACCAUGUGUAAGGAUUUUCUCAC
rnacentral:lncRNA from 1 species